GAGAAAGAAGCAUAGAAGGAGAUGCGACUGGCUUGAAACCAGUCUAAGGCGGUUCGAUUCCCCCCUUUCUUA
rnacentral:tRNA from 1 species